rnacentral:sRNA from 1 species
CGUUAGCAUUGUUGUGCAUUUAGGUGUGCUAAUAACAAAAUAAAAACAAACAACGCUAUUAUCAAACAAAUAUACAUAAAUAUUAGUAAAGUGUUGAAGCAGCCAACAAGCAAUAAAUUAAUUUUGAUAAAGCCCAAAAUUUAACUCAAAUGAGAAAAAUAAUUCAGUAUUUAAUACCUACAAUUAAGUUUUGCCAAAUCACCGCUAACGAAGCGAGAAUUCUUUGUGAACAGCGCAAUAGCAUUUCAUGAAUUUGCAUAAAUUUUUAAACGAUAGUGUAACAGCAACAACAACGACAGCCCAAGAAAAUUAAAAAAAAAAAAAAAAAAACAUUUAACUUUUCACAUUAAGUGUGUCCCCAGGCAAUGCAGAACAAAUAACGAUGGGUGGAAAAAAUUGAAUGAAACAAAAAAUAAAGGAAUUGCUGCACAUCUUUCGCAAAAGACCAACAUUAACAAUAUUUUGUGUAAACACAAAUCUUUUCUAAACAUAUCGCGCCAAAAUCAAAGAAAACAAACAAAAACAAAAAAACAACGAGGUUUGUCGCGCAAACCAAGACGCCCCAUCAACAAUAAUCUAUGAAAUAAAAUUAGUGAAAGAAGACAAAACGAAAAUAUAAAAGCCAACCAUCCCCCACCUGAUCCAAAUAUAAACCAAAGAAUACCCAGCAAACCUUGGAUGUUUGUUUAUAUUUUUUUCGUGAUUUUUUUUCUUGUUGUUUAAAUUUCUUUCUUGCUUGUGCUACUUACACAGCUUGCCCACAAAAGUUUACAACAAAUAAACGAAAAAAUUAAUUUUUGCGCGUGUUUUUUUUUGCCUAAACAUUAUUUGCUGCUCGACGUCAAAGCAAGCGACAACAUGUUUUAAAGAGAAUUUUUAA